rnacentral:rRNA from 1 species
GAUGAACGCUGGCGGCGUGCUUAACACAUGCAAGUCGAACGAUGAACCGGGUGCUUGCACUCGGGGAUUAGUGGCGAACGGGUGAGUAACACGUGAGCAACCUGCCCCUGACUCUGGGAUAAGCGCUGGAAACGGCGUCUAAUACUGGAUAUGUCCCGUCACCGCAUGGUGUGCGGGUGGAAAGAUUUUUCGGUUGGGGAUGGGCUCGCGGCCUAUCAGCUUGUUGGUGAGGGAAUGGCUCACCAAGGCGUCGACGGGUAGCCGGCCUGAGAGGGUGACCGGCCACACUGGGAAUGAUACACGGCCCAGACUCCUACGGGAGGCAGCAGUGGGGAAUAUUGCACAAUGGGCGGAAGCCUGAUGCAGCAACGCCGCGUGAGGGAUGACGGCCUUCGGGUUGUAAACCUCUUUUAGCAGGGAAGAAGCGAGAGUGACGGUACCUGCAGAAAAAGCACCGGCUAACUACGUGCCAGCCGCCGCAGUAA